CUCUCCCUCCCCCGGCCCUCCUGCUGAUGAGAGACAGGAGCGAUGGAUGGUCUGAGUUAGCGGGGUCCCGGCACCACCCAGCGCAAAGGCACUGCACUCACGCACGCCAUGCACAUGCUGGCUCACCUCCUCCAUCCCAUGCCUCCCCUGUCUCCAGCAUUCCCUCUGGAAUACAUCAGCACUGUUGCCUUUGAGGCUGGCCUGCUUGAAUGCACACCUGAGCUCCGGAUUCACAGCAAUUUCUUGGAUGAUUCACAGUGGAGGAAGCCAGAUGCCAUGUCAUGAGGGUGCUCAAGCAACUUUUUGGAGAUGUAUGUAUGGAGAGAAACUGAGGCCUCCUGCCAACAGCCAGCACUAACUUGGCAAGCAUGUUUGAGAGCCACCUGGGAAGUGGAGCCUUCAGCCCCAGUUAAGCCUUCAGAUGAGACUGCAGUCCUGGCCACCAUCUGGACUGCAACUUCACAAGAGCUCCUAAGCCAGAGCCAUGCAGAUGGAUUCUUGGCCCCCAGAAAUUGUGCCACUACAUUUUGGGAAAUUUAUUAUGCAGCCAUAGAUUACCAAUACACUCACUAUUUCUUUUUUCUGAUGCCAUACUAUAUUUUUGUUUGCUGAUUUUUUUCCUCCGUCUCUCCCACUAGGCAUUAAGUUCCAUAAGGGCAGUGACUGUGUCUGCGUGGUUCAUCCAUGUGUCCCCACAGCCUGGCAUAUGGAGCUCACUAAUAACUCAGGCAUGGGUAAAUGGAGAUCACUCAUUUUAGGCUCAGCCUAAUAAAUCUCCCUCCUAUGGCUCUCUCUAGAGAGAGCAGUAAAAUUUGCCCAACUUCUUUUUCUGUCUUUCUGUAUUUGAUUUCUUACACUUUCUGUGGCUUUCUGCUUAGUUUUAUUCCUGGCUGCCUGACAGAGGGUGGGUUUAUGCAGAUAAAGAGGCACCUGUGGGAGGAAGGGCUCUGUGUGCUUUCUCCUUUAAUAAGCUGUGUCUAAAAAAAAAAAAAAAAAAAAAAUAGCUCCCCUUUGCAAAAGGGACGAAAAUAGCCAGGAUUUUCCAGGAUUUUAAUGGAGAUGGGAGGCGGGUACUGGGAGGCUGAAGACUGAGGCAGCCCUCUUCUCUCUGAGCAGCCCCAGUCUGAUCACUGAGCAACCCCGGUCUGAUCACUUACCCACACACCCACACUUGAAUUAUACUCACUUAUUCAUUUAUCCAUCUUUCCACCAAGUCAAUUGUUAAUUAAUUCCCUAUUUAUUAUUUGCUUAUCUAUUUAUACAUUCAUUAUCUAUCCUAUAUUUUUUACUUAUGAAUUAAUCCAUUUAUCCAUCCAUGCACUCAGCUAUUCAUCCAUCCAUCCACUCUCCAUCUAUCCACCCAUCUAUACAUUUAUCCAUCACUGAUCCAUUCACCCACCAUCCACCCAUCUUUCCAUUCAUCCACCCAUUCUUUCAUGCAUCCAUCUAUCCAUCCACCAACCCAUCCAUCUACCCAUCUAUCCACAUAUCCAUCAUCCAUCCAUUCACCCAUUCAUCCACCAUCCAUUUGUCAUCCAUCUAUCUAUCCAUCCAUCCAUGCAUCCAUCCAUCCAUCCACUCAUCCAUUUAUCCACUCAUCUAUCCACUUAUCCAUCAUCCAUUCAUUCACCCAUUUAUCCACCUAUCCUUCCAUCCACCCAUCUAUCCACUUAUCCAUCAUCCAUUCACCCAUCCUGCAUUCAUCCAUUAUCCAUUGAUAUACUUUUCAUUUAAUCCGAACACCCUAAUGCCUUUAUGUUAAUUAAUGAAUUUAUUCACUUAACCAUGUGUCUAUUUAUUAAGUAUUUUAAUUUAUUAAUUUACUAAGCUUUCAGUUCUAUUCAGACCCCCGAGUAUUUACAAGUGCUACUACUUUGUGCCAAGUGCUAUGUUAGGCUCUGGAAUUAAGAGGUGAAGGAGACAGACCUGGUUCCUACCUGUGUGCGGUUCACCCCACUGAUUUCUGGAAUUCAGGUGAGGAGCUGUUCAUGGGAGAUCCUGAAGUCAGCACAAAAUUUCUGCUCUCUAGGGACUCAUGAUGUGACAGAGCUGGAUCGUGACACCUGGUGCUGGUUCUACCACUGGAAUCCUUAACUUCUGGAUGGGCCUCAGUUUUCUUUUCUGGGAAAUGGGGACAAUGUUGGGAAAAUCUUCUUCUUCUUCUUCUUUUUUUUUUUUUUUUUUUUAACAGAGUCUCACUCUAUCGCCAGGCUGGAGUGGUGCAGUGGCAAGAUCUCGGCUCACUACAGUCUCCACCUCCAGGGUUCAAGCCAUUCUCUUGCCUCAGCCUCCCAAGUAGCUGGGACUACAGUUACACACCACCACAUCCAGCUAAUUUUUGUAUUUUUAGUAGAGAUGGGGUUUCACCAUGUUGCCCAGGAUGGUCUCGAUCUCCUGACCUCAUGAUCUGCCCACCUUGGCCUCCCAAAGUGCUGGGAUUACAGGCGUGAGCCACCGCACCCAGCUGAUAAAACCAUCUUGAAUGACCUUCAUCACUGUGAACAGUGAUGCAGUGGCUUUAUAAACUCUAGAAUGUGCUACAAUUAUGUGUGUGUGUGUGUGUCUGUAUGUGUGUGUGUGUGUGUGUCUGUAUGUGUGUGUGUGUGUGUCUGUAUGUGUGUGUGUGUGUCUGUGUGUGUGUGUGUGUGUCUAUAUGUGUGUGUGUGUGUGUGUGUCUGUAUGUGUGUGUGUGUGUGUGUCUGUAUGUGUGUGUGUGUGUGUGUGUACAAGGUUUCUUUUGAGUUUCCUAUCAGCCAAGCAUCACACCACUGGGGAACCAGCUACCCUUGCUCACUUUUUGCCCGGAUCCCUAGCAAGGUCUCUGGCAUCUUGCUGUUAUACCAGAGAGCACUAGGCAGCUGUGAACAGACCAAGUGGGCUCUGGAGGGUUGAAGGUGCUUAUUAUGAAUCCGGGGGGUCUUAGGGAGCUAGCAGUCUUUCCUCCUCAAGAAGGAGAUAAUUAUUGUUUAACUUUCAUCUGGGCAGUGAAUGCGACAUUUUUAAACACCUCCCUCCCCAUCCUAGAACCUCCAAUUGCCAAGGUUAAGUGCAUCUUCAAAGUUUAUUAACCAAGAACUACUGUGGCUCAGGUGAUCUUGGAAUAAUACAAACCUGCCUUUUAAUUUUCACUGAGCUCGUUGUAUGCUUUGUGAUCCCAGGGAGAUUGUUUCACUUCUCUGAGCCUCCAUUUCCUCACCUAUAAAGUGCAGCUUAGAAAUACUUCCAAGGCUGUCGUUGGGAGCAUCACAUGGGCAGCGUGGGUGCCUAGUAAGUGUUGGCUGUUGUCAUUCAAGAAGGAUGGUGUGAGCCUGCACAUGAGUCAGCAGGGGAGAGAAGGCAAGAUUCUGCCCAGAACAAGUCAAGGAAAAUCAGAUGCAGUUUUCAAUUAUUGAGUCACAGUCUCUCGUGGCUUGGAAGGAGAUAGAGGAUUCCUCCUCCCAACCAAUACCUUUACGAUGUUCUUUCCACACAGCUCUGUGGUUUACAAGGCAGGCUCUGCACUUCAUCCUGUUUAAUCUUCAACCUGCACGUAGUGUGAGUGGGGUCCCUCCACCCCUUUUUCCAUCAGAGCAUUAGAACAAGCAGAGUUCUUAGAGCUGGUCCAGUCCAGAGAUCUUGGACUGGGGGCCUGCAGGCUGGCGACUCUCAUCUGGUCCCAACCAGAUCAGGAAAGCAGAAACUCAGUGAAGCCACAUGGAGGGGCUAGUGUUGGGUCCUCUGGGUGGAGCCCAAGAAGCUUGGUGGGCACUCAAGACCCCUCAGGACCAGCCCCACUCCCCUGUUCGAUUCCUUCCUCACCUUGUUCCCCAUUCUCAAAUCAUCUUGAACUCUGUGCAAGUCCCAGAAUGACCCUGGCUGUCUUGGCCUUUGUAAAAGUUGUUCCUUAUUCCUAAAAUUCCCUUCCACUCACUUUUUGCCCAGAUCCCUACUCAUCCCUUUUUACCCAGAUCCCUUUUUACCCAGAUUCCUAUUCAUCUUUCAGGUCUCAAGCCCAGAUGACGUUCCAGGAAGGCCUUCCCUGCCUGGGUGGGGUGGGGGGAGGGCAUCUUUGUGUUCCUAGAGACCCCUGGACUCCCCCUACCACUAAUAAGUCUGUCUUGAGGUUGUCUGUGUCUAUUUGGAUGUUUGCUUCUCCCCCUAGACCAGAAGGUCCUUGGAGACUUGGUGUGGGCACCAUUCACUCCAUGUCCUUAGGCCAUAGGGUAAUGACAGCAUAGAGAGAUGCUCAAAGGCAUCUUUGAAUGAAUGAGGAAGGAAGGAAGGAAGGAGGGAGGGAGGGAGCGAGAGAGAGAGAGAGAGAGAG
rnacentral:lncRNA from 1 species